GAUGAACGCUAGCGGCAGGCCUAAUACAUGCAAGUCGAACGGGAUCCAGAUCAAAGCUUGCUUUGGUCUGGUGAGAGUGGCGCACGGGUGCGUAACGCGUGAGCAACCUACCCUUGUCAGGGGGAUAGCCCGGCGAAGGUCGGAUUAAUACCGCAUGACAUCAUUGAGAGGCAUCUUUCGAUGAUCAAAGAUUUAUCGGACAAGGAUGGGCUCGCGUGACAUUAGCUAGUUGGUAAGGUAACGGCUUACCAAGGCUGCGAUGUCUAGGGGCUCUGAGAGGAGAAUCCCCCACACUGGUACUGAGACACGGACCAGACUCCUACGGGAGGCAGCAGUAAGGAAUAUUGGUCAAUGGACGGAAGUCUGAACCAGCCAUGCCGCGUGCAGGAGGACGGCCCUAUGGGUUGUAAACUGCUUUUAUACGGGAACAAACGUCGGUACGUGUACCGGUCUGAGUGUACCGUAAGAAUAAGGAUCGGCUAACUCCGUG
rnacentral:rRNA from 1 species